GUGGAGGUCUAUGGUAAAGGUCGUUCUGUUGCAAAGACGAUGGUUAAGAUGCAGUUUAGCUCCAGUGCUGAUUUGAGUGACCCGUCAGUGAGAAACAAUCUUCUUAAACAGUUGGGAACUGCACUGGAUAACAGAGGAUUAAAAAAUGUGACAGUGCAGUGGUCUCAGCUCCCUGAAAAAGAAGUGAAAGAGGUGAAAAAUGUAAAACGUGA